GUUUAAGAUCUGUUAUCGCCCUUAACACUUCGUACUUAUAAGGAAUGGCAGAACAAAAACAAGGUGGAUGAGGCAGAGGCCGACAGUGAUAACAAUGAGGGCGACAGAGAGGACAGAGGUUAUAUCAAGGUCCUUGGAGGCAAGGGCAGGAAAUGGCACACACAGGGUCAAGAAGGCUCCAAAGAUAGCUCAAAGAAUGGUAAAUUCAAGCGCCCUAAACAGGAACGCAAACGCCCCGAACAGAUUAUGAAAAGUAGAAACGCAAAAGCAAAGAAACAGGCCUUCCAAAAACAUCAGGAACAGACACGUCAAAAACGUAAAAACUUUUCCUCACAAAUGUCGAAAAAGAAAGGACGCAGAUAGACGUGUAUGCAAUCAGGAUGUUGAAAUGGGUAGGAGAAAACAAAAAUCAUUAAAAAAAUGUGAUAGAAUUAA